CUCAGUGAUCUGUCCAUCAGAAGCCGUCUCAACAAUCUUCUUGG
rnacentral:sRNA from 1 species